rnacentral:rRNA from 1 species
GUAUACAAUCUGCCUUUAAGCGGGGAAUAGCCCAUGGAAACGUGGAUUAAUACCCCAUAGUAUGUAGACUUCUCCUGGAGAUUACAUUAAACAUUUAUGGCUUAAAGAUGAGUAUGCGUCCUAUUAGUUAGUUGGUAAGGUAACGGCUUACCAAGACCACGAUAGGUAGGGGUCCUGAGAGGGAGAUCCCCCACACUGGUACUGAGACACGGACCAGACUCCUACGGGAGGCAGCAGUGAGGAAUAUUGGACAAUGGAGGCAACUCUGAUCCAGCCAUGCCGCGUGCAGGAAGACGGCCCUAUGGGUUGUAAACUGCUUUUAUACGGGAAGAACCACAUCUACGUGUAGAUGCUUGACGGUACCGUAUGAAUAAGGACCGGCUAACUCCGUGCCAGCAGCCGCGGUAAUACGGAGGGUCCAAGCGUUAUCCGGAAUCAUUGGGUUUAAAGGGUCCGUAGGCGGAAUAAUAAGUCAGUGGUGAAAGUCUGCAGCUCAACUGUAGAAUUGCCAUUGAUACUGUUGUUCUUGAAUUAUUAUGAAGUGGUUGGAAUGAGUAGUGUAGCGGUGAAAUGCAUAGAUAUUACUCAGAACACCUAUUGCGAAGGCAGAUCACUAAUAAUAUAUUGACGCUGAGGGACGAAAGCGUAGGUAGCGAACAGGAUUAGAUACCCUGGUAGUCUACGCCGUAAACGAUGGUUACUAGCUGUCCGGCCUAAUUGAGGGCUGGGUGGUUAAGCGAAAGUGAUAAGUAACCCACCUGGGGAGUACGUUCGCAAGAAUGAAACUCAAAG